AUGGAUGAGGUCACAAGGGGUAUACAAGGAGAUAUCCCAUGGUGUAUGCUCUUUGCGGAUGAUGUGGUGCUAGUUGACGAUAGUCGGACGGGGGUAAAUAGGAAGUUAGAGUUAUGGAGAAAAACCUUGGAAUCGAAAGGGUUUAGGCUUAGUAGAACUAAAACCGAGUACAUGAUGUGCGGUUUCAGUACUACUAGCUGUGAGGAGGAGGAGGUUAGCCUUGAUGGCCAGGUGGUACCUCGGAAGGACACCUUUCGGUAUUUGGGGUCAAUGUUGCAGGAGGAUGGGGGUAUUGAUGAAGAUGUGAACCAUCGAAUCAAAGCCGGAUGGAUGAAGUGGCGCCAAGCUUCUGGCAUUCUCUGUGACAAGAGAGUGCCACAAAAGCUAAAAGGCAAGUUCUACAGGACGGCGGUUCGACCCGCAAUGUUGUAUGGCGUGGAGUGUUGGCCGACUAAAAGGCGACAUGUUCAACAGUUAGGUGUGGCGGAGAUGCGUAUGUUGAGAUGGAUGUGUGGCCACACGAGGAAGGAUUGA
rnacentral:rRNA from 1 species